UACAGAGGUGGCAAGCGUUGUUCGGAAUUACUGGGCGUAAAGGGCGCGUAGGCGGCUUGGUCAGUCCCGUGUGAAAUCCCUCGGCUCAACUGAGGAACUGCACGGGAAACUGCCUGGCUUGAGUUCGGGAGAGGGAAGCGGAAUUCCGGGUGUAGCGGUGAAAUGCGUAGAUAUCUGGAGGAACACCGGUGGCGAAGGCGGCAUCCUGGACCAACACUGACACUGAUGAGCGAAAGCCAGGGGAGCAAACGGG
rnacentral:rRNA from 1 species